rnacentral:rRNA from 1 species
AACGUAGGUCACAAGCGUUGUCCGGAAUUACUGGGUGUAAAGGGAGCGCAGGCGGGAGAACAAGUUGGAAGUGAAAUCCAUGGGCUCAACCCAUGAACUGCUUUCAAAACUGUUCUUCUUGAGUAGUGCAGAGGUAGGCGGAAUUCCCGGUGUAGCGGUGGAAUGCGUAGAUAUCGGGAGGAACACCAGUGGCGAAGGCGGCCUACUGGGCACCAACUGACGCUGAGGCUCGAAAGUGUGGGUAGCAAACAGG